rnacentral:rRNA from 1 species
GAUGAACGCUGGCGGCGUGCCUAAUACAUGCAAGUCGAGCGAACAGAUGAGGAGCUUGCUCCUCUGACGUUAGCGGCGGACGGGUGAGUAACACGUGGAUAACCUACCUAUAAGACUGGGAUAACUUCGGGAAACCGGGGCUAAUACCGGAUAAUAUAUUGAACCGCAUGGUUCAAUAGUGAAAGACGGUUUUGCUGUCACUUAUAGAUGGAUCCGCGCCGCAUUAGCUAGUUGGUAAGGUAACGGCUUACCAAGGCAACGAUGCGUAGCCGACCUGAGAGGGUGAUCGGCCACACUGGAACUGAGACACGGUCCAGACUCCUACGGGAGGCAGCAGUAGGGAAUCUUCCGCAAUGGGCGAAAGCCUGACGGAGCAACGCCGCGUGAGUGAUGAAGGUCUUCGGAUCGUAAAACUCUGUUAUUAGGGAAUAACAAAUGUGUAAGUAACUAUGCACGUCUUGACGGUACCUAAUCAGAAAGCCACGGCUAACUACGUG